UACGGAAGGCAGUAGUGGGGAAUAUUGCACAAUGGGCGCAAGCCUGAUGCAGCCAUGCCGCGUGUAUGAAGAAGGCCUUCGGGUUGUAAAGUACUUUCAGUCGUGAGGAAGGUGUUAAGGUUAAUAACCUUAGCAAUUGACGUUAGCGACAGAAGAAGCACCGGCUAACUCCGUGCCAGCAGCCGCGGUAAUACGGAGGGUGCGAGCGUUAAUCGGAAUUACUGGGCGUAAAGGGCACGCAGGCGGUUAAUUAAGUUGGAUGUGAAAUCCCCGGGCUUAACCUGGGAAUGGCAUUCAAGACUGGUUAGCUAGAGUCUUGUAGAGGGGGUAGAAUUCCAUGUGUAGCGGUGAAAUGCGUAGAGAUGUGGAGGAAUACCGGUGGCGAAGGCGGCCCCUGGGACAAAGGACUGACGCUCAUGUGCGAAAGCGUGGGGAGCGAAACAGGGAUUAGAUAC
rnacentral:rRNA from 1 species